rnacentral:rRNA from 1 species
UACGAAGGGGGCUAGCGUUGCUCGGAAUGACUGGGCGUAAAGGGCGCGUAGGCGGCUUGCACCGUCAGAUGUGAAAUUCCUGGGCUUAACCUGGGGGCUGCAUUUGAUACAUGUGGGCUUGAGUGCGGAAGAGGGUCGUGGAAUUCCCAGUGUAGAGGUGAAAUUCGUAGAUAUUGGGAAGAACACCGGUGGCGAAGGCGGCGACCUGGUCCGUGACUGACGCUGAGGCGCGAAAGCGUGGGGAGCAAACAGG